AGCAGCCGCGGUAAUUCCAGCUCCAAUAGCGUAUAUUAAAGUUGUUGCAGUUAAAAAGCUCGUAGUUGAAUUUCGGGGUCAGUAGUUUGGUCGUGCCAAUGGUAUGUACUGGGCUCACUGAUUCCUCCUUCCUGAUGAACUGUAAUGCCAUUAAUUUGGUGUUGCAGGGAAACUGGACUGUUACUUUGAAAAAAUUAGAGUGUUUAAAGCAAGCUAACGCUUGAAUACAUUAGCAUGGAAUAAUGAAAUAGGACGUUCGAUCCUAUUUCGUUGGUUUCUAGGAUUGACGUAAUGAUUAAUAGGGAUAGUUGGGGGCAUUAGUAUUCAAUUGUCAGAGGUGAAAUUCUUGGAUUUAUUGAAGACUAACUACUGCGAAAGCAUUUGCCAAGGAUGUUUUCAUUAAUCAAGAACGAAAGUUAGGGGAUCGAAGACGAUCAGAUACCGUCGUAGUCUUAACCAUAAACUAUGCCGACUAGGGAUCGGAUGAUGUUAAUUUUUUAAUGACUCAUUCGGCGCCUUACG
rnacentral:rRNA from 1 species